rnacentral:rRNA from 1 species
UACGGAGGGGGCUAGCGUUGUUCGGAAUUACUGGGCGUAAAGCGCACGUAGGCGGCUUUGUAAGUUAGAGGUGAAAGCCCAGAGCUCAACUCUGGAACUGCCUUUAAGACUGCAUCGCUUGAAUCAUGGAGAGGUUAGUGGAAUUCCGAGUGUAGAGGUGAAAUUCGUAGAUAUUCGGAAGAACACCAGUGGCGAAGGCGACUAACUGGACUGGUAUUGACGCUGAUGUGCGAAAGCGUGGGGAGCAAACAGG